AACGGACGAAGCCUCUCCCCCCCCCCACCAGCUUCCCCCGCCCGAAAGAACAAAGGGAACCUCUGCCGCCGCCCAGGCAACCUGGCCCGCCUCUUUCGCGGCGGCUCUCCGGCGCCGAGCCUGGGAGUCCCUGGAGGAGCUGGCGGGGGCUGCAAGCGCCGCAGGCUGGACUGGAGCCGGAGAUGACGCCCCUCCGGCCGGGAUUUUCAUCUGCUUCUGAGAGUUCCGGUGCUCCUCCAGCUGAUGGGACAGAAGGGAAGGAAGGAAAAUAAGGAAUGAGUACAUCAUGUAGCAGAAAUGACUGAAGAAUCUCCAUGAAAAAUGCGAACAAGCUGCCCAAGUGAAGAUGAUCUGAAGGCAUACAACUCUCCCCUUGGGGGCAACCCAUUUCCUUGCAUACGUGGAGAAAAUUCUCGCAAAGGCACUCACCAGUUCUGCGUAUUUCUUGCAGAGGGCUGCCAGCUUCUCCUCAGAGGUGCUGAGGGUGUUGAGGGUCUGCAUCAGAAGAGUGAUCUCCUUUCCUGGAAGCAAAGGACAAAGCAAAAUCUCAUUCAGAGCAAGCACAAAAACAUGGCAGCAGGGCAGUAUUCGAGAGGAGGAAACAGCACUGUCUUAGGAACUAAAAAGCCUCUAGAAUGUGGGAAAUAAAACUUAGACAUAUUCCAGUUA